rnacentral:rRNA from 1 species
CCUACGGGUGGCAGCAGUGGGGGAUAUUGGACAAUGGGGGAAACCCUGAUCCAGCGACGCCGCGUGAGUGAAGAAGUAUUUCGGUAUGUAAAGCUCUUUUGUCAGGGAACAAAGGCGGGGACUAGUCCCCGGAUGAGGGUACCUGAAGAAAAAGCAUCGGCUAACUCCGUGCCAGCAGCCGCGGUAAUACGGAGGAUGCGAGCGUUAUCCGGAUUUAUUGGGUUUAAAGGGUGCGCAGGCGGCCUGUUAAGUCAGCGGUAAAAGCCCGGGGCUCAACCCCGGCGAGCCGUUGAAACUGGCGGGCUGGAGUUGGAGAGAAGUACGCGGAAUGCGCGGUGUAGCGGUGAAAUGCUUAGAUAUCGCGCAGAACCCCGAUUGCGAAGGCAGCGUACCGGCUCCACACUGACGCUGAGGCACGAAAGCGUGGGUAUCGAACAGGAUUAGAUACCCCAGUAGUC